CUAACCCUACUUGCUAGUUACCAUCAUUAAGUUGGGGACUCUAGCGAGACUGCCAGUGAUAAACUGGAGGAAGGUGGGGAGUGACGUCAAAUCAUCAUGCCCUUAUGACCUGGGCUACAAACGUGAUACAAUGGCUGGAACAAGGGAUGCGAAGCAGUGAUGUGGAGCGAAACCCAUAAAAACAGUCUCAGUUCGGAUUGAAGUCUGCAACUCGACUUCAUGAAGUCGGAAUCGCUAGUAAUCGCGGAUCAGAACGCCGCGGUGAAUACGUUCUCGGGGUUU
rnacentral:rRNA from 1 species